CCUACGGGGGACUGCAGUGAGGAAUAUUGGUCAAUGGACGCAAGUCUGAACCAGCCAUGCCGCGUGCAGGAAGACGGCCCUAUGAGUUGUAAACUUCUUUUGUACGAGGGUAAACGCAGACACGCGUAUCUGUUUGAAAGUAUCGUACGAAUAAGGAUCGGCUAACUCCGUGCCAGCAGCCGCGGUAAUACGGAGGAUUCAAGCGUUAUCCGGAUUUAUUGGGUUUAAAGGGUGCGUAGGCGGUCGGAUAAGUUAGAGGUGAAAUCCCGGGGCUCAACUUCGGAAUUGCCUUUGAUACUGAUCGGCUAGAGAGUAGUUGCGGUAGGCGGAAUGUGUGGUGUAGCGGUGAAAUGCUUAGAGAUCACACAGAACACCGAUUGCGAAGGCAGCUUACCAAGCUACUUCUGACGUUGAGGCACGAAAGCGUGGGUAGCAAACAGGAUUAGAUACCCGGGUAGUC
rnacentral:rRNA from 1 species